rnacentral:rRNA from 1 species
UACGUAGGGGGCGAGCGUUGUCCGGAGUUACUGGGCGUAAAGCGCACGCAGGCGGUCUGCUAAGUUUGGAGUGACAGUUGGUGGCUCAACCACCAAAGUGCUUUGAAAACUGACAGACUUGAGGGCUUCAGAGGGACACGGAAUUCCGGGUGGAGUGGUGAAAUGCGUAGAGAUCCGGAGGAACACCAAAGGCGAAGGCAGUGUCCUGGGGAGUACCUGACGCUCAGGUGCGAAAGCCAGGGGAGGCGAACGGG